CGGAACAUAGCUCAGUCGGUAGAGCGCAGGCCUUAUAAGCCUGGAGUCGAUGGUUCGAUGCCAUCUGUUCCGA
rnacentral:tRNA from 1 species